CACAAUAAAAAAAAAAAUACUACGUAAAUCAUUCAUUUGUUUUUUUUAUUUGUAUAUAAUUCUAUUAAAAGUUUAAAACACAGAGAAUUAAAAGACAAUUGGGUCAAUAUACACAAAUCAAUGAGAAAUUAAGAAACAAACCAUAAAAAAAAACUGAUGUCCAUUACAGACAUUUAUGUCUUCUUUUCUUGUCUUAUCCCUGUCCUAAAAUUUCAUCUUGUAUAUAUUUUUUUUUUUCCAAACUCACAUCUCUCUCAUUUAUCUAUUUCUCUUUUAAUUUUGUCAACUUCUAUUAAGAUUAAAGUUUCUUCUUAAAUCAAUCGAUCUUCUUCCAAAAUCUUCAAAUCAUCACCUACUC
rnacentral:lncRNA from 1 species